CCUACGGGAGGCAGCAGUGGGGGAUAUUGCACAAUGGGGGAAACCCUGAUGCAGCGACGCCGCGUGUGGGAAGACGGUCCUCUGGAUUGUAAACCACUGUCCCCAGGGAAGAAGAUGACGGUAGCGGGGGAGGAAGCACCGGCUAACUACGUGCCAGCAGCCGAGGUAAGACGUAGGGAGCGAGCGUUGUCCGGAAUUACUGGGGGUAAAGGGAGCGUAGGCGGGGAUGCAAGUUGUGUGUCCAAACUACAGGCUCAACUGGUAGUCGCACUCAAAACUGCAGCUCUUGAGUGAAGUAGAGGCAGGCGGAAUUCCUGGUGUAGCGGUGAAAUGCUUAGAUAUUAGGA
rnacentral:rRNA from 1 species